rnacentral:rRNA from 1 species
CCUGAACGCUGGCGGCGUGGCUAAGACAUGCAAGUCGAACGGGUGUAGCAAUACACCAGUGGCGGACGGGUGAGUAAUGUAUCGCUAACGUGCCCUGGAAUCUGAGAUAGCCAAUCGAAAGGUUGGGUAAUACCAGAUGAAAUAUCCUUAUCGCAUGAUGAGGAUCUCAAAGGAGCAAUCCGGUCUGGGAGCGGGCGAUAUCGUAUCAGCUAGUUGGUGAGGUAACGGCUCACCAAGGCGACGACGCGUAGCCGGGCUGAGAGGUCGGCCGGCCACAUUGGGACUGAGACACUG